rnacentral:misc_RNA from 1 species
AAGCACGGAUGCUUUCUAUGGGUCAAAGGAAAAGGGUACAGCUCGCCAGAUUGUUAGCAAUUGAUCGACCUAUUUGGUUGCUUGAUGAACCUUCAGUAGCAUUGGAUGACGAAGGUGUGAAAUUGCUAGAGUAUAUUAUUGCAGAGCACAGGAAAAAAGGUGGUAUUGUCAUUGUCGCCACCCAUCUGCCUAUUCAGAUCGAGGAUGCAAUGUUUUUAAGGUUGCCACCAAGGUUCCCUAGAAGGAUGA